rnacentral:lncRNA from 1 species
UUUGGACCGGCCUCGCAACCUACAAACCUAUGCCAUGAAAGUGUGUGUGCGCGGGAGCUUCUUUUGUUACAAGAUUCCAUGGCUGUUCUAUCUUCCAUUCAUUGUUGGAAUCGGUGAUCUCGGAAAUUCUUGUUUAAGGAGAUAGAGAGUUAGCUGCCAUCCUUGUCAUGGAAGUUGACGAGAAGCUAGUAGGAACAAUUUCUCUUUUUAAAGUAGCGUUCGUUUAGCCAUAAUGGAAUAGAACUAGGGGAAUUGGAAUUUGAAUUAUCUAAAGAAUUAAGAUGAUGUUUAAAUUUUGAUCAUUUUUCUUAGUAGGAUUAUACAUUAGGAUGAUAGGGUAGGGUUCCAGCGUGAACCUAAUCCCAUGCGUGAACUGCGUGAACUGAUCUGGACCAUUGAUUUCCUUUUAGUUGUUAAGGGUAUGAUUGUAAUUAUAUAAAAAAUUAUAUUUAAAUCAUUAUUUUAAUAAUUGAAUGAAGUUACAUCUU